AUCGGUGGUAGCUCAGUCGGGUAAGCGCCGGCUUCCCACGCCAGUGAUGCGGGUGCGAAUUCCGGCGCUGACA
rnacentral:tRNA from 1 species